ensembl:processed_transcript
CAGAUGGGAGCCAUGCAGGUCUUGACCAUUGCCUGCACACACUUCUUCCCAGGAGUAGGGGAAUGAGGAAGGCUCAUGGCGUCUAUGUCGUAAAUGAGGUGUGGAUUUGCUAUGUCCCUUCUGUUCAGCAACCCUUAUUUCUCUUGCCUGACCAUCUCUACUGUGGGAAUCACGGGGAAGCUGCUGCAGCACAACUUGCAAUAGAAAGCUUGAUGGUAUGAAUUUAGGACAAGAACAUGAGAAGAAGGGCUCCAGAGAGGAUUCAUUAAGAGCAUUUUCUGCUCUUCCAGAAGCAUCUGAGUUUGGUGUGGGCACCCAAGUCAUUAGGCUCAGAGCUGCUUGGCACCAAGAGAUGCCAGGAAGCUGGUAUAAAUCCUCAUGGAACUUGAAGGCUGAGUGGCCUGAAGUGGGCCACAAGUGAUCAGGGAUUUUAAAACUGCUGUUCCCAGCUUGCGUUUGAAAAUGGGAAAUAACUCAAAAGACAAUUGCAAACUCUGCAGUCAAGAUGGCUCCUGCUUGUAAUCUCAGUGUUCAGAAGGUCUGGAUCCCCUAGGUUUGCCACCAGGAUCACCAGAAAGUUUGUUAAAUAGAGAAGCACUUGAUAGAAGGCACCCGGAUAAGGAUGGGCAGAAAUCAGGCCUUGGCUAUCUGGAUUCUGACUUCUUCAAAAAGAUGAGAUACACGAUAGAUGAGAAAAGCCCGUCCAUGGUGUUAAGAGACUUUGGCCCCACACCCAUGCCGUGCAGCUCUGCCAGGGCCUACCUGCUUGACUCAACCCUCUUUGUUCCCUCACCCUCUCUGGGUAACUGAGAGAUUUAUACCUUGGAUAUCCUGGGAAUGUCUUUCUAAACUAAUAAAAUUGUUCUUGAGUUUCCUUCUGA